AGCUGGUAUAUCGGAACCAAAUCAUACGUAGAAUGGAUUUGGUCCCCUUCAACCAGCUGU
rnacentral:pre_miRNA from 1 species